rnacentral:rRNA from 1 species
CAGUCGCCGCGGUAAUACGUAGGUGGCAAGCGUUGUCCGGAAUUAUUGGGCGUAAGGCGCGCGCAGGUGGUUUAAUAAGUCUGAUGUGAAAGCCCACGGCUCAACCGUGGGGGGUCAUUGGAAACUGUUAAACUUGAGUGCAGGAGAGAAAAGUGGAAUUCCUAGUGUAGCGGUGAAAUGCGUAGAGAUUAGGAGGAACACCAGUGGCGAAGGCGGCUUUUUGGCCUGUAACUGACACUGAGGCGCGAAAGCGUGGGGAGCAAACAGGAUUAGAGACCCCGGUAGUCCCUGUCUCUUAUAC